UUAUUCCUACGGGGGGCAGCAGUGAGGAAUAUUGGUCAAUGGGCUUACGCCUGAACCAGCCAAGUCGCGUGAGGGAAGACUGCCCUAUGGGUUGUAAACCUCUUUUGUCAGGGAGCAAUUGGCGCUACGUGUAGCGUUAUCGAGAGUACCUGAAGAAAAAGCAUCGGCUAACUCCGUGCCAGCAGCCGCGGUAAUACGGAGGAUGCGAGCGUUAUCCGGAUUUAUUGGGUGUAAAGGGAGCGCAGACGGCAGGGCAAGUCUGAUGUGAAAGUCCGGGGCUCAACCCCGGGACUGCAUUGGAAACU
rnacentral:rRNA from 1 species